AAAUGGAAGAAGAAAUGGCUGGAAAAAAUGAUGAUAGAGCAGCUUUUUCUUGUUAGCCACCUCGGAAGAUCAAGACAGCUGGAAAGGGCUAUUGAUAUUGUGGAAGUGUUUUCUUACAGAGGUUGCUUAUCAGACAAAGGCAAUUUAACUACAUCAGAAAGAUAAAAACAGUUGGAAAUGGCUAUUCAUAUUGUGGAAACUUUUCUCACAGAGCUUGAUAAUCAGGCAAAAUGCUGGAACACCCUUGACAGAGUAUUUGAUGUAUGAUAACAACAAGAGAACCCAAGCAUCAAUUUAUUUUAUACUUCUGGGAAAGAAUGCAUUUGACCCAAUUUUUAAAUAUUUAUUUUUUGUUAUUAAUGUUAAAUUUUCUUCCAAAACACAAUUAGAUUUUAAUUCUCUUCAAAUAUGUAUGUAUAAUAUAGCAAGUAAACUGACAUAUAAAUCACUUAGAAUUUGGUCGGAAAUCAUAAAGUAUUUAAUAGGCAUUACUAGAAACCAAAUGUAGAUCAAAUACACCCAGAAUUACAAAAAACCUUGACCUACAUUAAGGUGACUUUCCCUUGCUUAUGAAAUGAAAUACGUUUUAAUAUCCUGCUUUUCUGUGUUCUUAGAGUGAUUCUACCCUACCCUUAUAUCAAAUAUUUCAACUGUCAAGGGUUCUUUAAAGGGUACCCAGGGGGGCCGAAUGGUUAACACGCACACAUUUGAUCAGAAGGUCUGUCAUUGAUUCAAAUAAUUCAAUUUUCAAGGGUUCUUCAAAGUGUACGCAGUUGGGUUGGUUUCGAUUCUGGGGGGUGGGGGUGGAUGGCCGAAUGGUUAGCACGUGCAUGCUGUAUCAUACGGCCACCUGUCAUUGAGUCAACUGGCAUGGUUUCGAAUCCCCGGUUGUAGACAAGGAGUAGGGUCGCCUGUCCAAUCUUGUGGGUUUUCUCCGGGACCUCCGGUUUCCUCCCACUGCUAAAGACCCCUACGCGCUAGCGAAUUAUUGAAAUAAAAUUAAACCAUAUGUUAGUCCCAAAAUGACCUAGUUUGUGUCGAGUAGACGUUAAACCCCAUUUCUCUCUGUCUCUCUCUCUUUUGAUUCUGGGCUUGUACCCAAUUAUCCCUUGCCAUAUCCAACACUGAAAAGUGGGAACUAUGCCGGAAAAUCCAGUUGAAAUUUCUGGGCCAACGCCUUAUGCUC